rnacentral:lncRNA from 1 species
UAUCUAUUAUUAUAUAAAAAUAUUAAGAUCCGCCAUUCUCCCAACACAAGAAAAGUUACUCCAUAAUGGAGUUAGUACUGACAACAGAAAUAUGCUUGCCCAUUAACUAAAAAAAUAGAAAUAAGUAUUCAAAAGAAUAAUUCUCUUAUUUAAUUAGAAAUAGAAACUAGAGUAAUUUUCUGCACCGGAUAACCGAAGAAGUAGAAGAAAGAAAAAGAAGAUUUCAAUUUUUUUGUCUCGAUUUCUCCUCCCCCAGAAUUCUCUCUCGCAGCUUUGUAAAAUGACGGUAUUUAUAGAUAUUUACAUUGCUUUUGCCGUGUACAAAAAAAAAGUUUCAGCAAACUUUUCUCUUUCAUCUUGCCAACUUGCCAAUUUGAAGUGAAUUUUGACGAGGGAAUGACUUUUAACUUUUGCUGAUGCUAGCUUCUUUCUUUUCCAUUUUCAACUCCUUCUUCAAUCUUAUUCAUUUCUUUACUUAUAUUUUGAUAUUACCUACAAGAGAAUAACAAUAUUAGUAUUAAGGAUUCAAUAACAACUCAUAUUAUGCAUAGUAUUUUUAUUUUAUCAAACUCUCCUACACUUAUCAUUUUCUUCGUCUCGAGGAAAUUUCUGAAUCAUUCUUUUUUCAAGAAAACAAAUCAAGCCAGCUGCUAGUAAAAAAAAUAUUUCUUUUUUUUCUUUUUUUUCUUUUUUAAGCUGUGUCUUGACUGUGUUGAAAAUAAGAAGUUUCCAAAUUUUUCCUCUACGGUGCAUUAGUCAACAAUUUAAGAACUAUAUGGUUGUUAUAAAAUAUAAUUCAAAGUAGCAAUAUGGAACAAGGAAAUAAAAGUAAUUUAGUAAAACAUGAACAAGAAAUGGAGAUAGAGAGAAGGAAGACAUUUUUU